rnacentral:rRNA from 1 species
GCUACGGGGCGCAGCAGUGGGGAAUUUUCCGCAAUGGGCGAGAAGCCUGACGGAGCAAUGCCGCGUGGAGGUAGAAGGUCCACGGGUCUGUAACCUCUUUUCCCGGAGAAGAAGCAAUGGACGGUAUCUGGGGAAUCUCGUAAAGGGCGC